UUUCUUGAUUAGUGGCGCACGGGUGAGUAAUGCAUAGAUAAUGUGCCCCUUAGUUCGGGAUAGCCACUGGAAACGGUGAUUAAUACCGGAUACUCCUUCUUGUUAUAAGACAAGUCGGGAAAGUUUUUCGCUAAGGGAUCAGUCUAUGUUCCAUCAGCUUGUUGGUGAGGUAAUGGCUCACCAAGGCUAUGACGGAUAUCUGGUUUGAGAGGAUGAUCAGACACACUGGAACUGAGACACGGUCCAGACUCCUACGGGAGGCAGCAGUGAGGAAUAUUGCACAAUGGAGGAAACUCUGAUGCAGCAACGCCGCGUGGAGGAUGACGCAUUUCGGUGUGUAAACUCCUUUUAUUAGGGAAGAUAAUGACGGUACCUAAUGAAUAAGCACCGGCUAACUCCGUGCCAGCAGCCGCGGUAAUACGGAGGGUGCAAGCGUUACUCGGAAUCACUGGGCGUAAAGGGUGCGUAGGCUGGCUUUUAAGUCAGAUGUGAAAUCCAAUGGCUCAACCAUUGAACUGCAUUUGAAACUGAAAGCCUAGAGUUCAGAAGGGGCAGAUGGAAUUAGUGGUGUAGGGGUAAAAUCCGUAGAUAUCACUAGGAAUAUCAAAAGCGAAGGCGAUCUGCU
rnacentral:rRNA from 1 species